CUGGGCUACACACGUGCUACAAUGGACGGUACAAAGAGCUGCAAGACCGCGAGGUGGAGCUAAUCUCAUAAAACCGUUCUCAGUUCGGAUUGUAGGCUGCAACUCGCCUACAUGAAGCUGGAAUCGCUAGUAAUCGCGGAUCAGCAUGCCGCGGUGAAUACGUUCCCGGGCCUUGUACACACCGCCCGUCACACCACGAGAGUUUGUAACACCCGAAGUCGGUGGGGUAACCUUUUUGGAGCCAGCCGCCUAAGGUGGGACAAAUGAUUGGGGUGAAGUCGUAACAAGGUAGCCGUAUCGGAAGGUGCGGUUGGAUCACCUC
rnacentral:rRNA from 1 species